rnacentral:rRNA from 1 species
GGGUUGUGAGGUUAAGCGACUAAGCGUACACGGUGGAUGCCCUGGCAGUCAGAGGCGAUGAAGGACGUGCUAAUCUGCGAAAAGCGUCGGUAAGGUGAUAUGAACCGUUACAGCCGGCGAUGUCCGAAUGGGGAAACCCAGUGCAAUUCGUUGCACUAUCGUUAACUGAAUACAUAGGUUAACGAGGCGAACCGGGGGAACUGAAACAUCUAAGUACCCCGAGGAAAAGAAAUCAACCGAGAUUCCCCCAGUAGCGGCGAGCGAACGGGGAGCAGCCCAGAGUCUGAAUCAGCUUGUGUGUUAGUGGAACGGUCUGGAAAGUCCGACGGUACAGGGUGAUAGUCCCGUACACCAAAAUGCACAGGCUGUGAACUCGAAGAGUAGGGCGGGACACGUGGUAUCCUGUCUGAAUAUGGGGGGACCAUCCUCCAAGGCUAAAUACUCCUGACUGACCGAUAGUGAACCAGUACCGUGAGGGAAAGGCGAAAAGAACCCCGGCGAGGGGAGUGAAAAAGAACCUGAAACCGUGUACGUACAAGCAGUGGGAGCACCUUCGGGUGUGACUGCGUACCUUUUGUAUAAUGGGUCAGCGACUUAUAUUCUGUAGCAAGGUUAACCGUAUAGGGGAGCCGCAGGGAAACCGAGUCUUAACUGGGCGUUAAGUUGCAGGGUAUAGACCCGAAACCCGGUGAUCUAGCCAUGGGCAGGUUGAAGGUUGGGUAACACUAACUGGAGGACCGAACCGACUAAUGUUGAAAAAUUAGCGGAUGACUUGUGGCUGGGGGUGAAAGGCCAAUCAAACCGGGAGAUAGCUGGUUCUCCCCGAAAGCUAUUUAGGUAGCGCCUCGUGAAUUCAUCUUCGGGGGUAGAGCACUGUUUCGGCUAGGGGGUCAUCCCGACUUACCAACCCGAUGCAAACUACGAAUACCGAAGAAUGUUAUCACGGGAGACACACGGCGGGUGCUAACGUCCGUCGUGAAGAGGGAAACAACCCAGACCGCCAGCUAAGGUCCCAAAGUCAUGGUUAAGUGGGAAACGAUGUGGGAAGGCACAGACAGCCAGGAUGUUGGCUUAGAAGCAGCCAUCAUUUAAAGAAAGCGUAAUAGCUCACUGGUCGAGUCGGCCUGCGCGGAAGAUGUAACGGGGCUAAACCAUGCACCGAAGCUGCGGCAGCGACACUAUGUGUUGUUGGGUAGGGGAGCGUUCUGUAAGCCUGCGAAGGUGUGCUGUGAGGCAUGCUGGAGGUAUCAGAAGUGCGAAUGCUGACAUAAGUAACGAUAAAGCGGGUGAAAAGCCCGCUCGCCGGAAGACCAAGGGUUCCUGUCCAACGUUAAUCGGGGCAGGGUGAGUCGACCCCUAAGGCGAGGCCGAAAGGCGUAGUCGAUGGGAAACAGGUUAAUAUUCCUGUACUUGGUGUUACUGCGAAGGGGGGACGGAGAAGGCUAUGUUAGCCGGGCGACGGUUGUCCCGGUUUAAGCAUGUAGGCUGGUUAUCCAGGCAAAUCCGGAUAAUCAAGGCUGAGGUGUGAUGACGAGGCACUACGGUGCUGAAGUAACAAAUGCCCUGCUUCCAGGAAAAGCCUCUAAGCAUCAGGUAACAUCAAAUCGUACCCCAAACCGACACAGGUGGUCAGGUAGAGAAUACCAAGGCGCUUGAGAGAACUCGGGUGAAGGAACUAGGCAAAAUGGUGCCGUAACUUCGGGAGAAGGCACGCUGGUGUGUAGGUGAAGUCCCUGCGGAUGGAGCUGAGACCAGUCGAAGAUACCAGCUGGCUGCAACUGUUUAUUAAAAACACAGCACUGUGCAAACACGAAAGUGGACGUAUACGGUGUGACGCCUGCCCGGUGCCGGAAGGUUAAUUGAUGGGGUUAUCCGUAAGGAGAAGCUCUUGAUCGAAGCCCCGGUAAACGGCGGCCGUAACUAUAACGGUCCUAAGGUAGCGAAAUUCCUUGUCGGGUAAGUUCCGACCUGCACGAAUGGCGUAAUGAUGGCCAGGCUGUCUCCACCCGAGACUCAGUGAAAUUGAACUCGCUGUGAAGAUGCAGUGUACCCGCGGCAAGACGGAAAGACCCCGUGAACCUUUACUAUAGCUUGACACUGAACAUUGAGCCUUGAUGUGUAGGAUAGGUGGGAGGCUUUGAAGCGUGGACGCCAGUCUGCGUGGAGCCAACCUUGAAAUACCACCCUUUAAUGUUUGAUGUUCUAACGUUGGCCCCUUAUCGGGGUUGCGGACAGUGUCUGGUGGGUAGUUUGACUGGGGCGGUCUCCUCCCAAAGCGUAACGGAGGAGCACGAAGGUUAGCUAAUCCUGGUCGGACAUCAGGAGGUUAGUGCAAUGGCAUAAGCUAGCUUGACUGCGAGCGUGACGGCGCGAGCAGGUGCGAAAGCAGGUCAUAGUGAUCCGGUGGUUCUGAAUGGAAGGGCCAUCGCUCAACGGAUAAAAGGUACUCCGGGGAUAACAGGCUGAUACCGCCCAAGAGUUCAUAUCGACGGCGGUGUUUGGCACCUCGAUGUCGGCUCAUCACAUCCUGGGGCUGAAGUAGGUCCCAAGGGUAUGGCUGUUCGCCAUUUAAAGUGGUACGCGAGCUGGGUUUAGAACGUCGUGAGACAGUUCGGUCCCUAUCUGCCGUGGGCGCUGGAGAAUUGAGGGGGGCUGCUCCUAGUACGAGAGGACCGGAGUGGACGCAUCACUGGUGUUCGGGUUGUCAUGCCAAUGGCACUGCCCGGUAGCUAAAUGCGGAAGAGAUAAGUGCUGAAAGCAUCUAAGCACGAAACUUGCCCCGAGAUGAGUUCUCCCUGAGACUUUAAGUCUCCUGAAGGAACGUUGAAGACGACGACGUUGAUAGGCCGGGUGUGUAAGCGCAGCGAUGCGUUGAGCUAACCGGUACUAAUGAACCGUGAGGCUUAACCUUACAACGCCGAAG